UCAAAACUUACUAACUUCAGGUUAAUGAAUGUUAUGCAACUGUCAUCAAAAGUCAUAGUUGACUAGAUUUAGAAAAAUUUAAAAAUACAGGAUGUGGUUCGAAAUUUUGCCAAGUUUUACUGUGAUAGUAGCAAUGAUGGCUUUACCUCACACCGCUGCGUAUGGUCUCAACUACUUAGUUGUAGGAAACAAAUACCGAAGAAGUAUGUACAAAAAUUCUGAAAAGAAACAAUAUUUGCGAGACACACGACUGUCUGGAGAUCCAUACAAAGUAAAUGGUCUCGAGGCGAUACCUGAUGCAUGAAUUUUCAAGGUGACUGGUGUUCCCAGACAGAUGAAAUAGGAAAUAUCUUAGUGUUAACUAAGGAAAAUAUACUAGAAUUUCUGAAUA